CCUACGGGAGGCAGCAGUAGGGAAUAUUGCUCAAUGGGGGAAAGCCUGAACCAGCAACGCCGCGUGGAGGAUGAAGGUUUUCGGAUUGUAAACUCCUUUUGUUAGAGAAGAUAAUGACGGUAUCUAACGAAUAAUCACCGGCUCACUCCGUGCCAGCAGCCGCGGUAAUACGUCGGGUGCAAGCGUUAUUCGGAUUUACUGGGUGUAAAGAGUGCGUAGGAGGGGUAGCAAGUCAGAUGUGAAAUCCUAUGGCUUAACCAUAGAACUGCAUUUGAAACGGUUAUUCUAGAGUAGUGGAGAGGUAGGUGGAAUUCUUGGUGUAGGGGUGAAAUCCGUAGAGAUCAAGAGGAAUACUCAUUGCGAAGGCGACCUGCUAGAACAUAACUGACGCUGAGGCGCGAAAGCGUGGGGAGCAAACAGGAUUAGAUACCCGGGUAGUC
rnacentral:rRNA from 1 species